rnacentral:tRNA from 1 species
UUACACUCGGCCAUGCCGCC